AUGAUAUUAUACAGUAGGACUACUAGAGUUUGUGUGUUAUUAUACAGUAGGACUACUGGAGUAUGUGUGAUAUUAUACAGUAGGACUACUAGAGUUUGUGUGUUAUUAUACAGUAGGACUACUAGAGUAUGUGUGAUAUUAUACAGUAGGACUACUGGAGUAUGUGUGAUAUUAUACAGUAGGACUACUGGAGUAUGUGUGAUAUUAUACAGUAGGACUACUAGAGUUUGUGUGUUAUUAUACAGUAAGACUACUGGAGUAUGUGUGAUAUUAUACAGUAGGACUACUGGAGUAUGUGUAUUAUUAUACAGUAGACCUACUAGAGUAUGUGUGAUAUUAUACAGUAGGACUACUAGAGUUUGUGUGUUAUUAUACAGUAGGACAACUAGAGUUUGUGUGUUAUUAUACAGUAGGACUACUGGAGUAUGUGUGAUAUUAUACAGUAGACCUACUGGAGUAUGUGUGAUAUUAUACAGUAGGAAUACUGGAGUAUGUGUGUUAUUAUACAGUAGACCUACUAGAGUAUGUGUGAUAUUAUACAGUAGGACAACUAGAGUUUGUGUGUUAUUAUACAGUAGGACUACUGGAGUAUGUGUGAUAUUAUACAGUAGGACUACUGGAGUAUGUGUGAUAUUAUACAGUAGACCUACUGGAGUAUGUGUGAUAUUAUACAGUAGGACUACUAGAGUAUGUGUGAUAUUAUACAGUAGGACUACUGGAGUAUGUGUGAUAUUAUACAGUAGGACCACUGGAGUAUGUGUGAUAUUAUACAGUAGGACUACUAGAGUAUGUGUGAUAUUAUACAGUAGGACUACUGGAGUAUGUGUGAUAUUAUACAGUAGGACCACUGGAGUAUGUGUGUUAGUAUACAGUAGACCUACUGGAGUAUGUGUGUUAUUAUACAGUAGGACAACUAGAGUUUGUGUGUUAUUAUACAGUAGGACUACUGGAGUAUGUGUGAUAUUAUACAGUAGGACUACUGGAGUAUGUGUGAUAUUAUACAGUAGGACAACUAGAGUUUGUGUGUUAUUAUACAGUAGGACUACUGGAGUAUGUGUGAUAUUAUACAGUAGGACUACUGGAGUAUGUGUGAUAUUAUACAGUAGACCUACUGGAGUAUGUGUGAUAUUAUACAGUAGGACUACUAGAGUUUGUGUGUUAUUAUACAGUAGGACAACUAGAGUUUGUGUGUUAUUAUACAGUAGGACUACUGGAGUAUGUGUGAUAUUAUACAGUAGGACUACUGGAGUAUGUGUGAUAUUAUACAGUAGGACUACUGGAGUAUGUGUGAUAUUAUACAGUAGACCUACUGGAGUAUGUGUGAUAUUAUACAGUAGGACUACUAGAGUUUGUGUGUUAUUAUACAGUAGGACUACUGGAGUAUGUGUGAUAUUAUACAGUAGGACUACUGGAGUAUGUGUGAUAUUAUUCAACUUCCCCUAA
rnacentral:lncRNA from 13 species